GUGAAAUGGGUAGAGAUCGGGAAGAAUACCAGUGGUGCAGACGGCUGGCUGGCGUGUCCCUGACGCUGAGACACGAAAGCAUGGGGAGCAAACAGGAUUAGAUACCCUGGUAGUCCAUGCGGUAAACGAUGUCCACUAGGUGUGCGGGGUAUCGACCCCCUGCGUGCCGGAGCUAACGCACGAAGUGGACCGCCUGGGGAGUACGGCCGCAAGGUUAAAACUCAAAGGAAUUGACGGGGACCCGCACAAGCAGCGGAGCGUGUGGUUUAAUUCGAGGCAACGCGUAGAACCUUACCUGGAUUCAAUCCUGGUUGCACCAGGGGUAAUGCCCUGUCCCCGCAAGGGGCGGCCAGGACGGUGCUGCAUGGCUGUCGUCAGCUCGUGCCGUGAGGUGUUGGGUUAAGUCCCCUAACGAGCGCAACCCCUACUGCCGGUUACAUGUCCGGCGGGACUGCCGCGCACAACGCGGAGGAAGGCGGGGAUGACGUCAAGUCAGCACGGCCCUUACGUCCAGGGCGACACACACGCUACAAUGGUCGGGACAAUGCGUAGCCAGGCGGCGACGCCGCGCGAAUCGCCCAAACUCGACCUCAGUGCGGAUGGGAGGCUGCAACCCGCCUCCCUGAAGUCGGAGUUGCUAGUAACCGCAGGUCAGCACACUGCGGUGAAUACGUUCCCGGGUCUUGUACACACCGCCCGUCACACCACGAAAGUGGGUAACACCUGAAGUCGGGUCGCCAACUCGCACGAGACGCGCCUGCCGAGGGUGGGGCCCGUGAUUGGGGUGAAGUCGUAACAAGGUAACCGU
rnacentral:rRNA from 1 species